rnacentral:rRNA from 1 species
CCUACGGGGCGCAGCAGUGGGGAAUAUUGGACAAUGGGCGAAAGCCUGAUCCAGCCAUGCCGCGUGUGUGAAGAAGGCCUUCGGGUUGUAAAGCACUUUCAGUGGGGAAGAAAGCCUUGGGGCUAAUACCCUCGAGGAAGGACAUCACCCACAGAAGAAGCACCGGCUAACUCCGUGCCAGCAGCCGCGGUAAUACGGAGGGUGCGAGCGUUAAUCGGAAUUACUGGGCGUAAAGCGCGCGUAGGCGGUCUGAUAAGCCGGUUGUGAAAGCCCCGGACUCAACCUGGGAACGGCAUCCGGAACUGUCAGGCUAGAGUGCAGGAGAGGAAGGUAGAAUUCCCGGUGUAGCGGUGAAAUGCGUAGAGAUCGGGAGGAAUACCAGUGGCGAAGGCGGCCUUCUGGACUGACACUGACGCUGAGGUGCGAAAGCGUGGGUAGCAAACAGGAUUAGAUACCCGAGUGGUC